CCUACGGGUGGCAGCAGUGAGGAAUAUUGGUCAAUGGGCGCAAGCCUGAACCAGCCAAGUAGCGUGAAGGAUGACUGCCCUACGGGUUGUAAACUUCUUUUAUAAAGGAAUAAAGUGAGGCACGUGUGCCUUUUUGUAUGUACUUUAUGAAUAAGGAUCGGCUAACUCCGUGCCAGCAGCCGCGGUAAUACGGAGGAUCCGAGCGUUAUCCGGAUUUAUUGGGUUUAAAGGGAGCGUAGAGGGGUUGUUAAGUCAGGUGUGAAAUUGUGCGGCUCAACCGUACAAUUGCAAUUGAUACUGGCAGUCUUGAGUGCAGUUGAGGUAGGCGGAAUUCGUGGUGUAGCGGUGAAAUGCAUAGAUAUCACGAAGAACUCCGAUUGCGAAGGCAGCUUACUAAGCUGCCACUGACAUUGAUGCACGAAAGUGUGGGUAUCAAACAGGAUUAGAUACCCUUGUAGUC
rnacentral:rRNA from 1 species